GAGGGGAUAGCUCAAUGGUAGAGAUGCUGUUUAGCAUGCACGAGGUCCUGGGUUCAAUACCCAGUACCUCCA
rnacentral:tRNA from 1 species